UGGGGAAUUUUGGACAAUGGGCGAAAGCCUGAUCCAGCAAUGCCGCGUGUGUGAAGAAGGCCUUCGGGUUGUAAAGCACUUUUGUCCGGAAAGAAAUCCUUGGCUCUAAUACAGUCGGGGGAUGACGGUACCGGAAGAAUAAGCACCGGCUAACUACGUGCCAGCAGCCGCGGUAAUACGUAGGGUGCAAGCGUUAAUCGGAAUUACUGGGCGUAAAGCGUGCGCAGGCGGUUUGCUAAGACCGAUGUGAAAUCCCCGGGCUCAACCUGGGAACUGCAUUGGUGACUGGCAGGCUAGAGUAUGGCAGAGGGGGGUAGAAUUCCACGUGUAGCAGUGAAAUGCGUAGAGAUGUGGAGGAAUACCGAUGGCGAAGGCAGCCCCCUGGGCCAAUACUGACGCUCAUGCACGAAAGCGUGGGGAGCAAACAGGAUUAGAUACCCUGGUAGUCCACGCCCUAAAACGAUGUCAACUAGUUGUUGGGGAUUCAUUUCCUUAGUAACGUAGCUAACGCGUGAAGUUGGCCGCCUGGGGAGUACGGUCGCAAGAUU
rnacentral:rRNA from 1 species